rnacentral:rRNA from 1 species
UACGAGUACCCCAAGCGUUAUCCGGAAUCAUUGGGCGUAAAGGGUGUGUAGGUGGCGGUAUUAGUCUUCUGUUAAAAUCCCGAGCUCAACUCGGGACUUGCAGUGGAAACGGUACUGCUCGAGGAUGCGAGAGGUGAAUGGAACUCAUGGAGUAGGGGUGAAAUCCGUUGAUAUCAUGGGGAACACCAAAAGCGAAGGCAAUUCACUGGCGCAUUCCUGACACUGAGACACGAAAGCGUGGGUAGCGAACGGG